rnacentral:lncRNA from 1 species
GGCCGCCAGCCAUCAGAAAAUGGCCCAGCGCCGCCAUAGCUCCGCUUUUUUUCCCCCAUCGCCGCCUUAAAACCCUCGAUCGCCGCCACCACAAACGACAAGAGUACCAGCACCGGGCAACCCCUUCAAGCCUCUCUACCGCGCCACCAGCAACCCCAAUUCAACCCAUUUGCCGCCCUUUUGAUCAUCACAGCCUCACCGGAGUUGAUGACCGGAGAGGUUUUGAUAGAUUUCCACUUUAAUGUUGUUCAAUUUUGGUGUAAGUUUCAAGUUGGUGACCUUUGCUUAUGAUUACCCCAAAACAGGUUCUUAAUCUUUUAAAAUUUGUGAUGUUUCAUGUGUGAUUUUGACUUGACUAUGUUGAUUUCAUGUUUAUCUACACCUGUUCACUGACAUAUACGGAAACUCCCAAAUUUGCAUGACUUUUGGUUAAACCCUAAUCUGUGAUUUGAAUUACGAUUCUCUUUUGUGCAGUUGUUAUAAAUUUUAUCACUAAGGUAAUAUCAAAUUUAGCCGUAAUUAUGCUUGUCCCUACUCUCUUAAUUUUUAAACAUUUAGCUUGUGUGAAUUUUGAAAUCACGACAGUCUUGUGAUAGAUUGAUAGACUAAUUUUCGUGCUUAGAUCCUGAUCUCAUGCGAUUAUGUUUGGUAACUUUGAUUUUUGUGCUUAAUUGCAAUCACAUGAUUAAGGGACAAUCUUAUAUUGUUAGUUACUUUUAUUCUCAUGUUUUGGGCGAGUAUUAGUGUCGCCCACUCGCAUAUUAUCUCUCUUAAAUUCAAAUUAUGAGACCUGACCUUUUAGUCUAAAAUAUGGCAAUUAGAGAUUUACUUGCUUGUGUAGUUGAUUUUAAAAGGAGUGAUCUCCUUGUUUGGAUAGUUUUAAUUUUUUAUGACUGAGUUUUUUCCCCCUUAAUUAUGGAAAGAUUUAUGGGUUUGAUUUCUUUGGACUGGCUUUUAGCACACUAAUUAUGGUAUGGUUUUGAUGACUGAUUUUACACCCUUAAAUUAUGGUAUAAAUUAUAUGUCUUAUAAAUCUAAUACUACGGGAUUGAUAUAUUCUAAUGUCUUCUUUUAUGGUAAAUAUAACACUAAAUUGAUUUUUCCUCUCCCAAUUGAUUUUUGAUAUGUUUUCUCCUCUUUAAUUGCUGCAAUUGAUUUCUUUCAAUAUGUCUUUCCUUUUAUGUUACGACAUCUAACGCUAUAUAAAGAACUCUUAUUCUCAAUUAACAGACUGUUCUUCCAUUACAAUUACUACUCUCUAAAACAAACAAUAAGAAUUACUGGCUAUUUUUAAUACAAGACAAUUAUAUAUUUUGAGGCUUACGGAAAACAUCUUGCAUACUUCACAUACUUCACUGUGCUUGGCUUUAUUUUAUUUUUUUAUUGCUGCUCAUUGGCAAGUUCCUCAUCAAUGUAUUUACAUAUUAAUGUAUUUACAUAUUAGAAAGCAUGCCUAUAGGAUUAGUUUGAAACAAUCACUUGCUGCUUACUUGUUGUGCCGUGAUUGAUUGUUUCAAUAUGCCUGUCCAUGUGUGUAUAUGUCCCGUGCUUGCAUUGUUUUUCCAUUAUAUUCAACCGGUAUUAUUAGAAGCGGAUUUCAAAGAGUCGCCGGGAUGUUUAAACUGACUAUGUAUUCUUUAUAGCUAGUUGUUUCUCUUCUUAUGUUUCGUAUUAUUCAGUUUGUAAUAUUAUUGUAAAGACAUUGUUAUUGUUGUAAUAAUAAAUUUGGGGACUGCUUCGGGGGCGGGGACUUACAUGCUCUGUGGAUAACAUAGGUAGGCACCACUUAGGAUUUUACGUGUAAUUACGUGCUAUAUGGAUCACUUAAUAUUCAAAGCAUUUGAACGCUUAAGCCUUAACUUAUCCACGUCAUUGCAUGUUUAGUCAUGUUAACGCAAUUUAGGCAUAUUAAAAUGAAUUUGAGCACGUUAAUAUUGUGCGCAUGUCAAUAAUUAAUUUUUGAACAUUGCUGCAUUUUUAACAUGUUAGACACUUAGAUUAUGUCAUUUCAAGUUUGUAACAUAUAAACAAUAUUUAAGCAUGACAAUAUGGUAUGCAUGUUAACAAUUAAUUUUAUGCAUAGUAAUGAAUUUUUUUCAGCAUGAAUUAAUUAUGUUAUUGCAUAGCAUGUAAACACAAAUCUUAGUGUUCUACUAUUUUUAGAGCAUCAUAACAUUAAUUCCUGCACGUUAAUAUAAUUUUAGUAUGUUAAAACGCCAAAUUCAGCAUGUUGAUGCAUCUUUGUGCAUAAUUCCAGCAUGAUAAAUCAAUUUCCAGCGUAGACAAUUAAAGAAUAGAGUUUCAUUUCGAAAAGCAAUGAAGAAGGCUAUUGAAUUAACAGAACAAGCAGAUACAAAAGGAAUUCAAAUACAAAUUGCGGGGCGUAUCGACGGAAAAGAAAUUGCACGUGUCGAAUGGAUCAGAGAAGGUAGAGUUCCCCUACAAACGAUUCGAGCUAAAAUUGAUUAUUGCUCUUAUACAGUUCGAACUAUCUAUGGAGUAUUGGGCAUCAAAAUUUGGAUAUUUCUAGACGAGGAAUAAUUUUACUACUUGUCUUUCCCUUCUAUCCAAUGAUUGUACAAAAAAAGACCAAUUCAUUCUUUUUCUAAUCAAUCAAGGGGAACAUUUCUAAUUCUUAAUUCUAUAAGGUUGAAUAAAAAUUCGAUUGACCAUUUGAUAUAAUUGCUAUGCUUAGUGUGUGACUCGUUGGUUUUUUUAGGGUUAGGAUUAAAAAGACCAGCCCACAUAGUAUGAACUAAAAACUAUAGAACUAAUAACCAACCCAUCACUUCGCAUUAUCUGGAUCUAAAGAACCAGUCAAGAUAUGAUAUAUAGGUCAUAUCUUUGUAGCAACUGAAAUCUUUUGCAUAAACAAAAAACGAAAUCUGAUUCUAAGUUGUAAAGCAAAAUAAAGAAAAAAGAUGUGGAUAAAUGGAAGGAUGAGAGAAAGAGAGAAAAAGAAUACCAAUGAUAUAAAAUUCCAAUAUGUAAGGUCUAUGAGUAAUCUCAUGAAAGGCAGUGUAAUAAAGCAUCAAUAUGCAUUCAUACCAUAAUAAAAAGAAUCUUCUUUAUAGAAAUAUAGAAAUAGAACAAAAAAUCAAGAGCUUCGAGCCAAUAAAGACUGAGAAGAUUGACUCAAGAACCAAUUUCAUUCUGAGCUCCAUUGUAGAAUUCGGACCUAACCAUUAAGUCAGAAGUGAUGGGAACGACGGAACUUGUGAAUGCAAAAGAUUCUAUUGAACAAGGAAUCUUAAUGAUUCACUGGUCGGGAUGGCGGAACGAACCAGAGAUUAAUUCAUGUAUUCUGAGAUCUGAGAAAUCACGAGUUAACCCUACAAAUGAAAUAGGGAUUGAAAGAGUAAAUAUUCGCCCGCGAAAACUUUUUUUAUUGAAAAAUUUAGGACAAUACAAUAAAGGACAAAAUAAGGAUUUGGUAUAAUAAUACAAUUUUUUAUAUUUCUAUUUAUAAAACUAAAAAGUUUAGUUAUCUAUUCAAACAAGAUAUAAAAAUUACUAAUAGAUUUAAUGAAAUCUCAAAGAAGCCCACGUUCAAGGUAUUACUCAGUAAAUACAUAUAUAUCUUAACUUAAGAUUGACUCUUCUAGCUUAAUUCAAAUUGAAUUUUUUGGAAUCCUUUUAUUCGCGAGGAGCUGGAUGAGAAGAAACUCUCACGUCCGGUUCUGUAGUAGAGAUGGAAUUCAGAAACAACCAUCAACUAUAACCCCAAAAGAACCAGAUUCCGUAAACAACAUAGAGGAAGAAUGAAGGGAAUAUCUUAUCGAGGUAAUCAUAUUUCUUUCGGUAAAUAUGCUCUUCAAGCACUUGAACCUGCUUGGAUUACAUCUCGACAAAUAGAAGCAGGCCGACGAGCAAUGACACGAAAUGCACGUCGUGGUGGAAAAAUAUGGGUACGUAUAUUUCCAGACAAACCAGUUACACUAAGACCCGCAGAAACACGUAUGGGUUCAGGAAAAGGAUCCCCUGAAUAUUGGGUAGCUGUUGUUAAACCGGGGCGAAUACUUUAUGAAAUGGGUGGAGUAACAGAAAAUAUAGCCAGAAGGGCUAUUUCACUAGCAGCAUCCAAAAUGCCUAUACGAACUCAAUUCAUUAUUUCGUAAUGUAAUAGACAAAAAUGUAGAAAGGGCUCUUAGAUAUGAAACAAAACCACAUGUUUCUUUUUUUUUGGACAAAAAUAUUUCUUUUUUUUUCUUCGCCCUUUGCAUUCAAAUGCAUUCAAAUAACGGAUUAAAAAAAUGAUUCAACCUCAGACCCAUUUAAAUGUAGCAGAUAAUAGCGGGGCUCGAGAAUUGAUGUGUAUUCGAAUCAUAGGAGCUAGCAAUCGUCGAUAUGCUCAUAUUGGUGACGUUAUUGUUGCUGUGAUCAAAGAAGCAGUACCAAAUAUGCCCCUAGAAAGAUCAGAAGUAGUCAGGGCUGUAAUUGUGCGUACCUGUAAAGAACUCAAACGUGACAACGGGAUAAUAAUACGAUAUGAUGACAAUGCUGCGGUUGUUAUUGAUCAAGAAGGAAAUCCAAAAGGAACUCGAAUUUUUGGUGCAAUCGCCCGGGAAUUGAGAGAAUUAAAUUUUACUAAAAUAGUUUCAUUAGCUCCCGAGGUAUUAUAAAAUGAAAUUGUGAUCUGUUUCUAGUAGGGUAUUUGAAAGAAAUAGAUUAAUUAGUAGAUUGUGUCUCACGCAUAUAUCUUUAAUAAUUCAUAUCAUAUUCAAAAAUAAAUAAGUAAAAAACACGUUGAUUAUAUCAAAUUUGGAGAACCCAAUAAUUUAAGUUCAUCAUGGGCAGGGACACUAUUGCUGAGAUAAUAACUUCUAUCACAAGAACAUUCUGUAGUCUUAGUAAGAGGGGGAAAAAGCCUAGCCUUUCCCUUACCGACGAGUGAGUACCCUUUGGCUUCCGCCAACAGUGAACUAUUAAGGAUCGCAUCCCGCGCAUAUUGAGACCUCCCUCUGUCGCAAUAGAAAUCGGGCCGCCAGCCAUCAGAAAAUGGCCCAGCGCCGCCAUAGCUCCGCUUUUUUUCCCCCAUCGCCGCCUUAAAACCCUCGAUCGCCGCCACCACAAACGACAAGAGUACCAGCACCGGGCAACCCCUUCAAGCCUCUCUACCGCGCCACCAGCAACCCCAAUUCAACCCAUUUGCCGCCCUUUUGAUCAUCACAGCCUCACCGGAGUUGAUGACCGGAGAGGUUUUGAUAGAUUUCCACUUUAAUGUUGUUCAAUUUUGGUGUAAGUUUCAAGUUGGUGACCUUUGCUUAUGAUUACCCCAAAACAGGUUCUUAAUCUUUUAAAAUUUGUGAUGUUUCAUGUGUGAUUUUGACUUGACUAUGUUGAUUUCAUGUUUAUCUACACCUGUUCACUGACAUAUACGGAAACUCCCAAAUUUGCAUGACUUUUGGUUAAACCCUAAUCUGUGAUUUGAAUUACGAUUCUCUUUUGUGCAGUUGUUAUAAAUUUUAUCACUAAGGUAAUAUCAAAUUUAGCCGUAAUUAUGCUUGUCCCUACUCUCUUAAUUUUUAAACAUUUAGCUUGUGUGAAUUUUGAAAUCACGACAGUCUUGUGAUAGAUUGAUAGACUAAUUUUCGUGCUUAGAUCCUGAUCUCAUGCGAUUAUGCUUGGUAACUUUGAUUUUUGUGCUUAAUUGCAAUCACAUGAUUAAGGGACAAUCUUAUAUUGUUAGUUACUUUUAUUCUCAUGUUUUGGGCGAGUAUUAGUGUCGCCCACUCGCAUAUUAUCUCUCUUAAAUUCAAAUUAUGAGACCUGACCUUUUAGUCUAAAAUAUGGCAAUUAGAGAUUUACUUGCUUGUGUAGUUGAUUUUAAAAGGAGUGAUCUCCUUGUUUGGAUAGUUUUAAUUUUUUAUGACUGAGUUUUUUCCCCCUUAAUUAUGGAAAGAUUUAUGGGUUUGAUUUCUUUGGACUGAAAUAACAAAAUCCAAUGCCUCUUGGACGAUAGGUGGGACGAUAAGUAUUACUAAAGUCGUUAGUUUUAUCCUUGUCGUAGAAUGCCUUUAGACUUUACAACUAGCCUAGGUGGGGUGGGGUAGGUAGUCAUUCAAAAGUGAUGAUCCCAACAGAUAUGGACGGUAAGACUAAUGACAUUGUCACUUGUCUAAGAGUUCGGCCGGUGGGUCGGAAGAUGAUUAAACAAGUUGGUUUUCUGAUCCGAAUGAGACCAACACAUUUCUUUGUUUGAUUUGAUGAAUUCCUUUUAUUCUUUUAUUUUCCUUACGUGCUUAUUUAUUUGGGGUAAUUAGUUAAUUAUAUAAGCAGUUCUCCUUGUUAUAAAUUAUGUUGUUUCUUUCUCCUUGCUUGUCUUUUUAUACGUUUUAUUGACUUUUAUCACUUAGUUAAUUAAUAACUAGAAUAAUGAAAUAAUAUGUUUUGUUCAUCAAUUGUUUUAUCACUUAGUUAACAUUAAAUUAAUAAUCAAACAAGAGACCUUAUUUGAGCACAUAGAAUCCCCACGUAAAAUACGAAUUUGGUCGGGAACCAUUUUUGUGGAUCUCGAAAGGUGCCUAACACCUUCCUUUCGAGGUAAUUUGAACCCUUACUCGAAUCUCUGGUGAACUAAGACAAAACAACAAAAGUAGGUUCGUAGUAGCCUAGACCGGUGCCCUAAUGCACCUUAAUUCGUUAGGUGGCGACUCUUCACACUCACCUCUCAAACAAUCCCCAAAAAGUGGU